GGAUGUGAGGGCAAUCUCGCUGCGAUAUCUGUCACCCCAUUGAUCGCCAGGGUUGAUUUGGCUGAUCUGGCUGGCUAGGCAGGUGUCCUCUUCCUCCCUCAUCGCUCCAUGUGCAUUCCUCCCAAAGCUGCUUGCUUGGUCGAAUAGGAUGACCUUCCCAGAACAGAGGAGGCUCUAGUCAAGGGUAUAUGAGUAGCUGCGCUCCCCUGCUAGAACCUCCUGUUUGAAGUGCUGUUUGAAGUCAAGAAAUAUUUAGGAAAUUGUUAUAGUAACAAUAGAAACUAAAUGCCAUUAAAUCAGUACAUUUUAAUUUCUCUGUGU
rnacentral:snRNA from 1 species